rnacentral:rRNA from 1 species
AUUGAACGCUGGCGGCAGGCCUAACACAUGCAAGUCGAGCGAGCGGCGGACGGGUGAGGAAUGUAUGGGGACUGCUCGUUAGAGGGGGAUAACUCACGGAAACGGUAUCUAAUCACGCAUACUAUCGGAUAACCCAUAUGGGAUUAGCUAGUAGGUGGGGUAAUGGCUCACCCAGGCGACGAUCCCUAGCUGGUCUGAGAGGAUGAUCAGCCAACCUGGGACUGAGACACGGCCCAGACUCCUACGGAGGCAGCAGUGGGGAAUAUUGCACAAUGGGCGCAAGCCUGAUGCAGCCAUGCCGCGUGUAUGAAGAAGGCCCUAGGGUUGUAAAGUACUUUCAGUCGGGAGGCGUUACCGACAGAAGAAGCACCGGCUAACUCCGUGCCAGCAGCCGCGGUAAUUC